UGGGGAAUAUUGCACAAUGGACGGAAGUUUGAUGCAGCGACGCCGCGUGGAGGGUGUAGGCCUUCGGGUUGUGAACUCCUUUUUCUCGCGAAAAAGGCACAGUUUUGGCUGUGUUGAUGGUAGUGGGGGAAGAAGCGCCGGCUAACUACGUGCCAGCAGCCGCGGUAAUACGUAGGGCGCGAGCGUUGUCCGGAUUUAUUGGGCGUAAAGAGCUCGUAGGUGGUUCGUCGCGUCUGUCGUGAAAGCCAGCAGCUUAACUGUUGGUCUGCGGUGGGUACGGGCGGGCUUGAGUGCGGUAGGGGUGACUGGAAUUCCUGGUGGAGCGGUGGAAUGCGCAGAUAUCAGGAGGAACACCGAUGGCGAAGGCAGGUCACUGGGCCGUUACUGACACUGAGGAGCGAAAGCGUGGGGAGCGAACAGG
rnacentral:rRNA from 1 species